rnacentral:rRNA from 1 species
CUCCGGGUUGAUCCCGCCGGACCCGACUGCUAUCGGAUUGAGAUAGAGCCAUUUGAGUCGAACGUCCCCCUGUUGCGGGGGGCGUGGCGUACGGCUCAGUAACACGUAGUCAACCUGCCCUGGAGACAAGGACAACCCCGGGAAACUGGGAUUAAUCCUUGAUAGGUCAUCUCAUCUGGAAGGAGAGAUGGCUUAAAGGGGUGCGCGGGCUUCUUCCGCGAAUUCGCUCCAGGAUGGGACUGCGUCCGAUCAGGCUGUUGGCGGGGUAAUGGCCCACCAAACCUGUAACCGGUACGGGCUUUGAGAGAAGGAGCCCGGAGAUGGACACUGAGACAAGGGUCCAGGCCCUACGGGGCGCAGCAGGCGCGAAACCUUCACAAUGCGCGAAAGCGUGAUGAGGUUAAUCCGAGUGGUCCCCGCUGAGGGGAUCUUUUCUUGGCUCUAAAACGGCCAGGGAAUAAGGGGAGGGCAAGUCUGGUGUCAGCCGCCGCGGUAAUACCAGCUCCUCGAGUGGUCGGGGCGAUUAUUGGGCCUAAAGCAUCCGUAGCCUGUUCUGUAGGUCCGCUGUUAAAUCCAACGGCUUAACCGUUGGCCUGCAGCGGAUACCGCAGGACUAGGAGGCGGGAGAGGUGGACGGUACUCCACGUGUAGGGGUAAAAUCCUUUGAUCCGUGGAAGACCACCAGUGGCGAAGGCGGUCCACCAGAACGCGCUCGACGGUGAGGGAUGAAAGCUGGGGGAGCGAACCGGAUUAGAUACCCGGGUAGUCCCAGCCGUAAACGAUGCGAGCUAGAUGAUCCGGUCGCAAAUCGCGAUCGGAGUGUCGCAGGGAAGCCGUUAAGCUCGCCGCCUGCGGAGUACGGUCGCAAGACUGAAACUUAAAGGAAUAGGCGGGGGAGCA